rnacentral:rRNA from 1 species
UACGAAGGGGGCUAGCGUUGCUCGGAAUCACUGGGCGUAAAGGGUGCGUAGGCGGGUCUUUUAAGUCAGAGGUGAAAUCCUGGAGCUCAACUCCAGAACUGCCUUUGAUACUGAGGAUCUUGAGUACGGGAGAGGUGAGUGGAACUGCGAGUGUAGAGGUGAAAUUCGUAGAUAUUCGCAAGAAACACCAGUGGCGAAGGCGGCUCACUGGCCCGUUACUGACGCUGAGGCACGAAAGCGUGGGGGAGCAAAGCAGG